AACGAACGCUGGCGGCAUGCCUAACACAUGCAAGUCGAACGAACCCUUCGGGAUGAGUGGCGCACGGGUGCGUAACACGUGGGAACCUGCCCUUAGGUUCGGAAUAACACAGAGAAGUUUGUGCUAAUACCGGAUAAUGUCUUCGGACCAGAGAUUUAUCGCCUUUGGAUGGGCCCGCGUAGGAUUAGCUAGUUGGUGAGGUAAAGGCUCACCAAGGCGACGAUCCUUAGCUGGUCUUAGAGGAUGAUCAGCCACACUGGGACUGAGACACGGCCCAGACUCCUACGGGAGGCAGCAGUGGGGAAUAUUGGACAAUGGGCGAAAGCCUGAUCCAGCAAUGCCGCGUGAGUGAUGUAGGCCUUAGGGUUGUAAAGCUCUUUUACCUGGGAUGAUAAUGACAGUGCCAGGAGAAUAAGCCCCGGCUAACUCCGUGCCAGCCGCCGCCGUAAGAC
rnacentral:rRNA from 1 species